rnacentral:lncRNA from 1 species
AUUAGACUUGGUGAUGUCACAGAGUGGGGCUUAGUGAUGUCAUGAGCUAGAACCUGAUUAUGCCAUAGAGUUGCCAACUCUUAGAAACAGUAUAUUUGGUAUGUGAGUUGAGCAUGGCCAAGCAGUGAAAGGGUGGCACUAGUGAUAUGAGUCCUCUGAAACCUGGGGGUGGGGGGGGGGGAGGGAUUUUUUUUUAGUCUUUUUUCUUUUGGGAGCAAGCUGAAACCCUCUUGUGGAUGCUGAGUGAAAUGUUUUUAAAAGCACUUUCCCCAGCUCCUUGCACUUUCCUCUCUAGAAAGUACAGUGGUACCUUGGUUCUCAAACGCCAUCAAAAACCCAGAAGUAAGUGGUUUGGUUUUUGAACUUUUUUCAGAAGCCAAAUGUCCAAUGUGGCUGUCAGCUAUUGUUUCCAGGUCCCUGCACCAAUCAGAAGCUGCGCCUUGGUUUUUGAACAUUUCAGAAGUCAAAUGGACUUCCAGAACAGAUUAAGUUUGGCGCUUUUGUUUUUGCUAUUUAUUUUGCGUUUUUGUUUUAGAGGCUUUUCCAGUUAAUUUGUUUUUGUGAUUGUGUGGAACCCAGUUCAGCUACUGAUCAAUCAUUGUGUGACUGCAGAAAUGGAUAAAAAACCCCGCAUCCAAACAAUAUCAUCAGUGCAGGUAAUAAAAUUUUAAUUCUUAUGAUCUACAAUACUGUUUUAUUUAUUUUAAAGUGUAGUACAUUGAUUAUUGUUUUCGUUUUAUGGAUCAAAGGUCUCGUUAGAUAGUAAAAUUCAUGUUAAGUUUCUGUUUUAGGGGUUGUUUUUGAAAGUCUGGAACGGAUUAAUCCAUUUUGCAUUACUUUCUAUGGGAAAGUGUGCCUUGGUUUUGGAACACUUUGAUUUUGGAACGGACCUCUGGAACGGAUUAAGUUUGAGAACCAAGGUACCACUGUAAGUAACAGUAUGAUUACUCCACAGAUACUAUGCAUUGCUAAUUUUUAUAACUGUUGGUGCUGCUUAUACAAAUUACAUGGGCAAUAGUUACUGCAGCAAAAAUAACAUAACAGAUUGUCCCAGGACGGAAUCUGAAUUAUCUUAAAGGGUGUGGAAUAGCCUCAGCAGUGAUCUGUGGUGCAGUAAAGCAUCAGUGGCACAUCUUGCUUCAGGCAUCAAAUGGUCUUGGGCCAGCCCUAAGCUUAAGUCAUGCUCCUUGCAUGAUUGAAAACCCUGAGAUGUCAUUGUUCUCAAUUAUAUGGGGAAUCACCAUGGAUAUACAAAGCUCCUCACUGCAGAAGUUCACUAAUCACGCAAAAGGCUAGCAGAAGCCCUGCUCUACCUGUGGUUACUCUUCUAGUGACAAUGCUUGAAGAGGGUUUACACAGGUAGGGGGAUUUGGCAGCAUAUGGGCCUGGAUGGGAAGAAUAUUGGGUUGGAAGGUACCAAGGGAGCCUGGAACUCUAGUUGUUUUUCGGUUUUUUACAUUUUGAAUAAGGACAGAAAUAUGAGACAAUGGUGUCGUUAUAGUUACAGACAGCAGAGGUCACUAUUAGCAUUAGAUAGAAUUAAUAACAGGUUUUAAUUCACUUUUCUCAGCACCCUGAUGCAGUCAGAUUCAGAGAAACCUGAGAGGGUACAGCAGGUUUUUUGUGUAGUUUUUUUUUUUAAUGGUGCCAAUACCUUCAGGCGCUUCUGACUCCAGGAAGAGCAACAUUUUCUCACUCUGAAGUUCCCACAAAAGGCAUUAGAAUGGUCAACAGCCCUUCAUGAGAGUCUAGAGACUUGGGGAUUGGAAUACCAGAUCUGAGAGCCCUCUUCAGACUUUGUCAUCAAAAUAGAGUGGGGCUUCAGGGAUGUGUGUCCAGCCAUAUCCCCACACUGGGCAAUUCUUCCGGACUCCUUGUGUGAUUACAAUGAACUUUUGCUGCAGGAGGUCUUUUGUGUAUUCAUGGAUGUUCCCUGCAUUAUUUAGUUUUUUAUUAUAUAUAAAAAAUCAGUUUUAAAGGUGAAUGAGCAAGAGAUUGUGAAAAUAAAGCACACAUCAGUAAAAAGAACAAAGACUCGGGUCACUGUUUGUACAAGUAUGAAUAUGUAAAGGAAGUAUGGUGGGUAGGAGCAAGUUAAUGGAGUCUAACAGAAGAUUAGAGUCAGGCUUCAUGUUAAGGAAUCUCUCCAGAAGGAUUCCUGAUAUCCUGGCGGAUGCAAAUACCAUCGACAGAAGAGUUAAUAAAAGACAAUAAAGGGAGGGAGGAAUAGUCGUCUAUCAGCAAGUUAGUUAGUUCUUACUGCUAUAGUUUUCUAGCUUAGAAGAGGGUUUAAGGAUGAGAUAAUUAUGCUUUUAUAGAUAGUUUAUUACUGUUUUAUUAUGUAAUUUUAAUAAUACUUAAUGUUUAUAUAGUGCCUUAGAGCUUCCAAAGAGGACCACAUACACAUCAUCUCUGUAAUAGCAGCCCUGCAAAUGAUAUGGCAGCAUUACAAUCAUCCCUGUUGAACUUCAGGCACUCAGCAAAGACCUUUCCAUUUCAGCAGGCAAAAAUCAAGCAGAAAAAUCAAACAAAACCUCAACAACACUCCCAGCUGUGAUAUUGUAAGACCAGCUUUUCUCAACCUUGGGUUUCCAGAUGUUGGUGGCCUACAACUCCUAUCAACCAUGGCCAGCAGGGGCAGCACUCAGGAAUGAUGGGAGUGGUAGUCCAGUAACAUCUGGGAACCCAAGGUUGAGAGAAGCUGCUAUAGACUAGUAUAAGGGAAAAGUCCCUGUGGAAGGAGAUUUAGUUACUCUGUCCCCCUUCAUGUGUGUGAGAUGUCUUAUUACGUUGCACAGGAGAUUUACCUCUUUCUCCUUGAUGUCACAGCACCACAAAUCUGCUUAAAGUCAUUUGUUUCCCGGGCAGUUGUAACAGAUGGAUGGAAAAUAGAGGAUCUAAAAAGUAAUAUUGUAAGCAGAGAAUUCUGCAGAGUGAGAUGGCAGUUUUCCACCCUACCACUAAAAAAAAAGUUCAUGAAGGUCUUAUCCGCUAAAGGGAAUUUUGUCAGAUCAGAAAGUUGGGAGCGUUUGCAUUGUAUCAAAUGGAAAAAAAUGAGCAUGCUCCCCCGAUUACCUGUCUGUACAACAUGUCACUAGACUGUAAAUUUCUUGAAGUCGCCAGGUGCCAAGAUCUCCAGAUCCAUAGAAUGCACAUAGAGUACUAUCAAAGAACAGUAUGUUCUGUUUUGCUUUCCUCACCGGGUUACUAUUUUGUCAGUUUUUCCUGCCUUAUUGUUCUCACAUGGAGAUGCUCAACUUUUCCUGGGUGUUACAAGCCUCUCAGGCUUUAUUCAUGAAUUUUAUUCUCCAAGGGCUCUUUGCUGUAAAGGAAAAGCUCAUAAUCCACCUGAAAGGACUGAGUCCCAUUGAUAUCAAUACAACAAGGUUUAGCACAGUCCUAAGCAAGUUUACUUAGUGGUACGGCCCACUGUGUUCAAUAGACUUACAACCAAGGUAAGUUGUUGCAACUAAAUCAAGCCUGGUCACUUUCAAGCAUUUCAAUAAGAAAUAGUCACAACAAAUGUUAGCUGGAUUGGAGCCAAAAUAAAUAAUAAAUUUGGCAAGCCUUUGCUAUGUUCUUGUUUUACCUUAAUAUAAAAUGAGAUUUUUUUAAUGCGACCUGUAUUUGUUUUUCUGAUGUUUUUGAAACCUAUCCUGGGAUGACUUGGUGAAGGGCAGGCUAUAAAUGUGAUAAAUAAAGCUGCAUAUGGGUACAAUCCUGUGCCAAAGGACAGAAUCCCAGAAAGAGCAGAGGUAAUGCACCAGGAGGCAAAGCCCAUAAGUAAAGGGGUGCAGCCUAUAGAAACCACCUAAUCUAUCUAAAAAUAGC